GGCAAACUGAACAAUGUGAGGAAAUGCUGGUGACACCAUAUGGCCUGGAAUAAAAGCACGACGAAACUGUUUGUUCCUGAAGCCACUGAGCUCAGCUGCUCCGUCAGGACAGCUGGUUUACCGGCCAGCCAUGGCACCCUGCUCCAUGUUUCCGGGCGUCCUUUCUUCCUCAUCUUACUCUGAGACCCAGAACAAUCCAUCCAGCUGUCUCCUGCAAUCCCCCAUCACCACCGCUCCCAAUCCCCAGUCCCCAAGCAAACUGCUGGUCAUCUCUCUGUCACUGCAGGUUCGUUUGCAUUUUCUCGCCUCUUACAUAAACU
rnacentral:lncRNA from 1 species